rnacentral:sRNA from 1 species
GCGGCGUGAGAAGCUAUGAGCAGCAAAGUCUCUCGCGACACCCUGUACGAGGCGGUGCGGGAAGUCCUGCAUGGGAACCAGCGCAAGCGCCGCAAGUGAGUGCCGACCCUGGGGCACGGCGCGGGUGGCGAGGGCCGGCGGGUGCUUAAUCCCCCUCCUCUCUCGAAGGUUCCUGGAGACGGUGGAGUUGCAGAUCAGCUUGAAGAACUAUGACCCCCAGAAGGACAAGCGCUUCUCGGGCACCGUCAGGUUGGCACCGUUCUGAUCCCACCCAGCCCUCAGUGCCCCCGUGCCUGCCCCUCCCCUGCAGGCUCCCGCUGAGCCGGAGGCGGGCACGUCGGUACUGAUGUGCUAGGGUAGUUCAGACCCCCUGCUCCAGGCAGACGCGGCUGGACGGACCCCCACCCUGGGUCUUAAAACAUGAGGGGAGGCGUGGGGAGGCCUUGGCCGAGCCCGCCGGCCAGCCUGAGAAGCUAGGCUGGCUGCUGGUGAAUGUGAACGCUCCGGGCUUAAGUCCACUCCCCGCCCUAAGUUCUCUGUGUGUGUCCUGGGGGACCAGCAGCACUGUGACGAGGCUAAGGCCGUGGAUAUCCCCCACAUGGACAUCGAGGCGCUGAAAAAACUCAACAAGAAUAAAAAACUGGUCAAGAAGCUGGCCAAGAAGUAUGAUGCGUUUUUGGCCUCAGAGUCUCUGAUCAAGCAGAUUCCACGAAUCCUCGGCCCAGGUCUAAAUAAGGCAGGAAAGUUCCCUUCCCUGCUCACACACAACGAAAACAUGGUGGCCAAAGUGGAUGAGGUGAAGUCCACAAUCAAGUUCCAAAUGAAGAAGGUGUUAUGUCUGGCUGUAGCUGUUGGUCACGUGAAGAUGACAGACGAUGAGCUUGUGUAUAACAUUCACCUGGCUGUCAACUUCUUGGUGUCAUUGCUCAAGAAAAACUGGCAGAAUGUCCGGGCCUUAUAUAUCAAGAGCACCAUGGGCAAGCCCCAGCGUCUAUAUUAAGGCACAUUUGAAUAAAUUCUAUUACCAGUUCCCUC